rnacentral:SRP_RNA from 1 species
GUGACCUCGAGGGGUGGGGGUGGGGAAAAUGUUCCGCUAAAUUUAGCGGGGAAAUUUCCCGCUAGAUUUAGCGGGGAAAAUUUUCCGCUAGAUUUAGCGGGAAAAAUUUUCCGCUAAAUUUAGCGGGGAAAAUGUUCCGCUAAAUUUAGCGGGGAAAAUUUUCCGCUAGAUUUAGCGGGGAAAUUUCCCGCUAGAUUUAGCGGGGAAAAUUUUCCGCUAAAUUUA